rnacentral:rRNA from 1 species
ACGGAAGGCAGCAGUGGGGAAUAUUGGGCAAUGGGCGAAAGCCUGAUGCAGCGACGCCGCGUGAGUGAAGAAGUAUCUCGGUAUGUAAAGCUCUAUCAGCAGGGAAGAAAAUGACGGUACCUGACUAAGAAGCCCCGGCUAACUACGUGCCAGCAGCCGCGGUAAUACGUAGGGGGCAAGCGUUAUCCGGAUUUACUGGGUGUAAAGGGAGCGUAGACGGUUUGGCAAGUCUGAAGUGAAAUGCGGGGGCUCAACUCCUGAACUGCUUUGGAAACUGUCGAACUAGAGUGCAGGAGAGGUAAGUGGAAUUCCUAGUGUAGCGGUGAAAUGCGUAGAUAUUAGGAGGAACACCAGUGGCGAAGGCGGUUAGCUGGACAGUAACUGACGCUGAGGCGCGAAAGCGUGGGUAGCAAACAGGAUUAGAUACCCUGGUA